rnacentral:rRNA from 1 species
AAAGUCGUAACAAGGUUUCCGUAGGUGAACCUGCGGAAGGAUCAUUAAUGAAACUUCAAAGUCGGCUUGUCAUCUGUGCUGGUGGAGACACAUGUGCACGUUGCAAGUCGCAAAUCCCACACACCUGUGCACCUAUGACUCUGAGUACCGCUUUGCAUGGGCCCCUCAAAGGCCCUGGUACUCGAGUACUUUACACACUCUGGAUGUAAUGGAAUGUCUAUUGUACAAUGUACAACUAAAACAACUUUCAACAACGGAUCUCUUGGCUCUCGCAUCGAUGAAGAACGCAGCGAAAUGCGAUAAGUAAUGUGAAUUGCAGAAUUCAGUGAAUCAUCGAAUCUUUGAACGCACCUUGCACCCUUUGGUAUUCCAAAGGGUACACCCGUUUGAGUGUCAUUGUAAUCUCACCCCUUUGACUUUUUUGUUGAUCGGUGUGGACUUGGAUGUUGCUGUGUAACAAACGGCUCGUCUGAAAUGCCUGAGUGUACCCUGCUUUGCGGCGUAUUUGGUGUGAUAAAUCUUCACCAGAGUUGACUUUUUCAAGUCGCGCUUGUACCUGUGGGCUCUAUGCUUCCAACCGUCCUGACAAGACAAUCUUUGACAAUUUGACCUCAAAUCGGGUGGGACUACCCGCUGAACUUAAGCAUAUCA